AGGUUCCACUCCUCCCCAAGCCUCAUUUAAGGGCUUUCUGCCUUAAGGAAAAGAUCCCUACCUGAGAUCCUUCCUUUUGGAGGUGUUCUGCAAGCCCUGGUCCCUGGGACAGGUUUUUGAAGAGAGGCUGGAAAUGAGCUGGAGUUGAGCAUUCCGAAGGUGUCUUGGUGAUCAAACUACUCCAGCAUGAAAGGGAUGAAGAUUAAAAUGGUUUCUGCUUACGUUGGCCUCGUUUCUUUUAAAAAUAAUGUAAGUAAAAGCAUUAUGUGCUGCAAUUCAGUCUGCUAAACUCUGGGUUUUGGGCUAAAUCUGAUGGUGCCUGGAGGAUGGACAU